rnacentral:rRNA from 1 species
GGGUUCAUACGUUGGUCGGGCUUUUUUGGUCUGUACUGGCGUAAUGGGUUCCUACCUUCUGAAUAACCGGCAUGCCAUUAAUAUGGUGCGCCUGGGAAGCAGGACUGUUACCUUGAAAAAAUUAGAGUGCUUAAAGCAGGCUAUCGCCUGAAUACAUUAGCAUGGAAUAAUGAAAUAGGACGGUAUGGUUCUAUUUUGUUGGUUUCUAGGAUCACCGUA